UACAGAGGGUGCGAGCGUUGUCCGGAAUUACUGGGCGUAAAGCGUGCGCAGGCGGCGCGUUAAGACAGGUGUGAAAGCCCCGAGCUUAACUUGGGAAUUGCGCUUGUGACUGGCGUGCUGGAGUGUGGCAGAGGGAGGUGGAAUUCCACGUGUAGCAGUGAAAUGCGUAGAGAUGUGGAGGAACACCGAUGGCGAAGGCAGCCUCCUGGGCCAGCACUGACGCUCAUGCACGAAAGCGUGGGGAGCAAACAGG
rnacentral:rRNA from 1 species